rnacentral:rRNA from 1 species
GGUUGAUCCUGCCAGUAGUCAUAUGCUUGUCUCAAAGAUUAAGCCAUGCAUGUCUAAGUAUAAGCAAAUUGUACGGUGAAACUGCGAAUGGCUCAUUAUAUCAGUUAUAGUUUAUUUGAUGAUACCUUACCAUAUGGAUAACCGUGGUAAUUCUAGAGCUAAUACAUGCGUCAAGCCUCGACUUCACAGGAAGAGGUGUAUUUAUUAGGUAAAAACCAACCUGGGCAACCAGUUUCUUGGUGAUUCAUGAUAACUUUUCGAAUCGUACGACGUUAGUCGACGAUGGUUCAUU